UUCAAGCACAACAUUUUGAGGUUAAGGAAAUUUUGAUAAAACGAAUGAUUUUAGAUUAUCCAAACAAUGUGAUGUCAAAUCCUCUUCACAGUUGGAACCUACAGAAUGGGAGGACAUGAAGUUAUUCAAAGUAAGGCAUUUGAAAGAGGACAUAAACUGGCCAAUAUUUGGAUUAGUGUUCCUUACACCAUGCCCUCGGAUAGAACUGAAAAAAUUUUCAAGGCAAUCUUGAUUGAAAGCACCAGUCAAGAUAUACUUGGAAUUUUUUUCAGUUAAUAACCUCCUCUUAAAGUAAACGAAAGCUUUUAAAGUCAAAAUAAAAUUUUUUUUUUUUUUUUCAUCAUAAAAAUACAUGUUUUCAAGAAAUUUUAUUGAUUUUUUCCAAAAGAUUUCAUGUUCUGAUCUUGUGGUUAUUGGUUCCUUCAAAAACUUACCCUGUGUAUUUCGAAUCUUUGAUACAAUGAGAGAAUCAAUCAGUGCAUACAGUACCUACAAAAAAUCAAAUGUUCAUCAGAAUUCAAAAACCAACAAACUAGAAACAUACUACAUCCUAUAACUAUUACUGAAAUAUAUACUAACUAUGUAACGCCUAAUUCUUAGUAUAGUUUAAACCAGAAUAUACUACAGCUCCAUUGGACAGUACACAUGGAACAAAAAUUUAAGGGGUUUAAAUAUGAAUAAAAUUGAGUAAUUCGAUAAAAUUACCUGGAAUACUGAUUGUAGGUAUGGCAUUGCAAGUAAGACUUAAUCCGUAAUCUGUGUGAAUUACUCAGUGAUGAAAAGUAUAACGUUUAAACUACUACAGAGAGAUCUUACGUUAACGAUUCAACCUAAAACCAAUUCAAUUAACAAGAACUUAGUAAAUGAAAAAACCAGAAAAAGCAAAGAAACUUUAUAAUAAUAAAAUAGGAUUCAAGCCAGAUUCUAUGGUGUUCCUUCGAUACAUAAAGUACUCUUUCUUCAAGGCCGAUAGUUUCUUGCUUACUCCUACAUCUGAACUGUCUUCGUCCAUACAGCGUCGGUUUUUGAACUCUUCUCUUGAUCGGUUCAAACUUCCAAUUAUGCAAUUAUGGAUUAUGGAAAUGACAGGUAUUGUGUUAAGGACAUUUUUGCAUUCGUUUCGCAGAUAAGUAAUUUUCCGUUAUCAUCAUAUCACGUAUUAAUUACUGUGGACGUACUGUCGUAAUUCACGAAUAAGAACCUAUAUAUACCAGCAGUGGCGACGCCAGCUUUCAAAAACAGGGGUGACCAAGAGGGGGUCGGAUUAUUUUUGAGGGGGCCAGAGUAAAGCGAAAUAUUAGUUCUACCAAUCUUUUAGCCUUAAUAUGUCAAAUUUUAGGGGGCCCGGGCCCCCCUUGGUCCCUCCCUAGCGUCGCCAUUGCAUACCAGUCGAUUUGGCGUUAGAUUAUUGUUGAAAUUUAAUUUCACCAUACAUACAUUUCCACCCAUCUAAGAUUAGAAGUUAUCACUAUCGGUAGGUUUUCUUCAAUUCAAUACAUAUUUCAUUUUCGAUGGCGAGAUUGAUAUUCAAACUCGGUUCACCAAUGGGCUCAUCCACCAUUCGAAUAUUGGCAAAGUUUGUAGUGGACUAUUUGCUUGAUGAGAUUCUAUCAAUAGAAAAGUAUGUAGAUGAUAUUUUAUGUGCAAUACCAGAUUAACAUCAGACUCAAUUUGGUUUUGGAAUAUUAAAUAAAUAUAAUGAGUUCAUGAAGGUAACAUUUGAAGAAGUACCAGAGAAUUCCCUUUUUUUUAGAUACAGGAAUUAUUACGAACAACGAUAUUAAACUGAAUGUAGACUGGUAUAGAAAAGGUUUGAGCUCAGAGAGAUAUAUUAAUUAUCUAUCAAAUCGUCCAAUGAAACAUUCAAUUUUUGAUAGAAAAAAUUCAAGAAGUUUUCAUUAAACCUACUGAUCUAUUACCCAAAAACUUUGAUUAAUAGACAGAGACAACACGUAACACGGUUUUUCGGAAUGAGCUGACACAUGAUCGAGGAUUGAGAGAUGGUGGACAUGGUGCUGGCUCUGGAAAAUAUAUACACCAAGUACUUCAAGGUAAAAAAAAUAAUUUCAUAUUAGGAUUGAGAGAUAGAAUAAAGAAAAUUAACCAUCCACAAUUUUUCUAUGCAGUCAUGAGAAGAUUGUUCAACAUCCUUACACAAAAUCAAUUUGAGGAGUCAACGCCCACCAACUAAUAUAGAAAGUGAAAGAUAGAUUGCGCAUCCACCACAGAACGAAGGAAAUCAAAUGUAAAGAAGUUGCAAUUAGCUGUCUCUUCUUCCUGCACAUCCUAUUCGAUUUUUCUCCUCAACAUCUGAGCCUCACUUAACCUAAAAGUUCUCUAACGCCUUCUCGAUCAUACCUGAUUCAAAAAUUGCCCGAUAGAGUUUUCUCGAAUAUAUUCUUUUUUUUCGAAUUUGAAAGAUCCAGUUCUCAUUAUACAUAGAAACAAUUGUUUUUAUUUCAUCAAUGUAAUAAAUUUUUUUUUAUAUAAUACAAUUAACUCAGAUAACACGAAAAUAAAGGAAUAUAAGGAAAAUAAUAUCGACAUUACCUUAUGCUACGCUAAUGCAUACUACGUGAUUUGUUGGUUAACAUCAAUCAUUGUAUAAAUGCCUCAAUACAUUCGAAUAAUAUAUAUAUUAUAAAUAUAUAAAUUAAUUGAUCAUGUAAAACACUUACCUGUGAAAUGUUAUACGAACAUCCAUUUGUUUUUGAGUACUGCCACAAGCAGUGGCGUAACUAGAAUUGACUCAUGGAGAGGGUUACACCUACAAAAUCUUAUACUUUUAGUAAUAAAUAAAUGUGCUCUGAAUAUAAUUGAAUUUCCUAAAAAAGGAACGUACAAUUCGUUCCUUGUGUCAACAAGGUUGGCACGAUUCGUCAAAAAUAUUGCUGUUGCUCUAUAUGACAUUGAUGUUCUCAGGAAUUUCUCUGUGACUGGAAGAGCCAGUAAUAAAAUGAGGAAGGAUGCAAGGCCAUCUCUUGAUCCAAAUUGCAGGCAAUUAGAGGUAUAUACAAACAUUACAUGUAUCAAAAGGGACAAGAUGAAAUAAGUGUGGAUUUCGAUAUGAGCAAAAUUGGGUGUCAUAUAUCGCUUCAAAAACAACACGUACAUCAAGAGCAUUCAGUUUAUUUCACCAAAACUGCAUUGAGUAUUCGAUUGACUUCAUAAUAUAUUUUUUAUGGACAAAGUGGAGUAUAUAGUGUGAAGGCCAUACCUUAUAUCCGACGAAUCUGAUCUAGACUCUGAUAGCAGUAAUUAGUAGGAGCUGUAGAGAUUUUAAAUGAUUUUGUUCGAAGGUGGUUGAAGGUAUACAUUGAACUGCUCAGUGGAAUAUUGGCCCAACCCUCAAAAUAUGAAGGAUGGAGAUAGUACCACCAUCGAUUGAAAGUUUACAUCAUCUUAGAAAAUAAUAGUAGACCCACCUCAGUAUGUAUAUGGAUGGUCAUACUAAUUCCAUGUUACAAGUUUGGGUUGGGCUGUUAUUCCACUGAUCAGCUCAGUUUAUACCUACAACUAAAAUCACCAUAUAGUUUUGAACAAAAUUGUUUUGAAUCCUUAAAUCUAACGUCUCUUCGUUUACAGUUUUAAAUAACUACAUAUUUCAAAAUAAUCUUUUAUUAUGUAAUGUGUACAUUUUGUUUCGUUAUUGAUCAUUUAUGCUAAAGGUGUGAUUCCUUAUUUUUGUUAUUCAUAUGUUCUUAUGACUAUUUAUUUUUCAUAAAAAUCACCGAUUACUUUUGGUGAAUAUUUAUAUAGGAUGUAUUUAUUUUCUAUAUUCUAUUAUAUUUUAUAUUUCG